ensembl:snoRNA LOC120097615 small nucleolar RNA SNORA17
GAGGUCCCUGGAGGUGUUACAGGUAUCAGAUGUGCAUCAGUAGGGGACAAGGAGGGGAAAGCCUAUGUCAUGCUCAGUGUUUUGACCUGUAAAUAUCUGAAUGAUUAGUAGUCUAAAAUU